AGCUAUGAGUUGAAAGAGAUGUUAUCAGUCCUUUCCAAUUCAGAUUUAGUACUCCAGAAGUUUGCCUCAAAAUACUGCAUUUCUAUAACACACUGUCUACCUUGGCUCAUUAAAAAAAAAAAAAAAAAAAAAAAAAAAACUCUUCUUUUAACUUCAAACAACUCCGAAGAUUGUUUUCCCACAGAAUUCUAAAGAUUUUGUGACUUGUUUGUGAAGCAAUUAACUUGGACUUUCAGAAAUUUGUUCUAGAACUCUGAGAUGUCUUCAGUUUACAAGUCUGUUGCCCUAGGUGAUAGAUUCAAUCUUUUAAGUCUGUUGAUUGUAUAUACUGGAAUAUAUGUUUAGUGGGUUACAAACCCAAUUUAUCUUUUUCAAUUUAAUUUUGUUUUAUAUGUUGGGUAUGGCUCUGACUACCACUCCUAAGAAAAACAUCUUAGCCUAAAGAAAGAAAUAAGUUAUGAAUGAAAAAAGCAAGUGAUAGAAGAAUACAUAUGGUAUGAUUCACAGAAGAAUACUUGCAAUGUGAUCCAUUUAUAAAAUGUUCUAAAAGAGACAAACCAACAAUAUAUUGUCUAGGGAUACAGUCAAAGGACAGGGAAUGAUUACAACAAAAAUCAAGUUUUUCAAGUCGCACUACAGAUGGCUGGUUGGAGGAUUGCACAGCUGGAGUCCCAACAGUAACAUUCAGGUCUGG
rnacentral:lncRNA from 1 species